rnacentral:rRNA from 1 species
AUGGGGGAAACCCUGAUGCAGCAACGCCGCGUGAGGUAUGAAGGCCUUUGGGUGUGUGAAGCCUCUGUCCUAGGGGAAGAAAAAAAUGACGGUACCCGAGGAGGAAGCCCCGGCUAACUACGUGCCAGCAGCCGCGGUAAUACGUAGGGGGCAAGCGUUAUCCGGAAUUAUUGGGCGUAAAGAGUGCGUAGGUGGUCUACUAAGCGCGAGGUGAAAGGCAAUGGCUCAACCAUUGUUAGCCUUGCGAACUGGCAGACUUGAGUGCAAGAGAGGAAAGCGGAAUUCCUAGUGUAGCGGUGAAAUGCGCAGAUAUUAGGAGGAACACCGGCGGCGAAGCGGCUUUCUGGAUUGUAACUGACACUGAGGCACGAAAGCGUGGGUAGCAACAGGAUUAGAUACCCUGGUAGUCCACGCCGUAAACGAUGAGCACUAGGUGUCGGGACAUGAGUCUCGGUGCCGCAGUUAACGCCAUAAGUGCUCCGCCUGGGGAGUACGCACGCAGUGUAAACUCAAGGAAUUGACGGGGACCGCACAGCAGCGA